rnacentral:rRNA from 1 species
UCGGGAAUUUUGGGCAAUGGGCGAAAGCCUGACCCAGCAACGCCGCGUGAAGGAUGAAGUCUCUCGGGAUGUAAACUUCGUAAGAAUAGGAAGAAUAAAUGACGGUACUAUUUGUAAGGUCCGGCUAACUACGUGCCAGCAGCCGCGGUAAUACGUAGGGACCAAGCGUUGUUCGGAUUUACUGGGCGUAAAGGGCGCGUAGGCGGCGUGGUAAGUCACUUGUGAAAUCUCCGAGCUUAACUCGGAACGGUCAAGUGAUACUGCUGUGCUAGAGUACAGAAGGGGCAAUCGGAAUUCUUGGUGUAGCGGUGAAAUGCGUAGAUAUCAAGAGGAACACCUGAGGUGAAGACGGGUUGCUGGGCUGAUACUGACGCUGAGGCGCGAAAGCGUGGGUAGCGAACAGGAUUAGAUACCCAAGUAGUCCCUGAGCGGGCUGGCAAGGCGCAU